UACGGGAGGCAGCAGUGGGGAAUAUUGCACAAUGGGCGCAAGCCUGAUGCAGCCAUGCCGCGUGUAUGAAGAAGGCCUUCGGGUUGUAAAGUACUUUCAGUCGUGAGGAAGGUGUUAAGGUUAAUAACCUUAGCAAUUGACGUUAGCGACAGAAGAAGCACCGGCUAACUCCGUGCCAGCAGCCGCGGUAAUACGGAGGGUGCGAGCGUUAAUCGGAAUUACUGGGCGUAAAGGGCACGCAGGCGGUUAAUUAAGUUGGAUGUGAAAUCCCCGGGCUUAACCUGGGAAUGGCAUUCAAGACUGGUUAGCUAGAGUCUUGUAGAGGGGGUAGAAUUCCAUGUGUAGCGGUGAAAUGCGUAGAGAUGUGGAGGAAUACCGGUGGCGAAGGCGGCCCCUGGACAAAGACUGACGCUCAUGUGCGAAAGCGUGGGGAGCAAACAGGGAUUUAGAUA
rnacentral:rRNA from 1 species